rnacentral:rRNA from 1 species
ACUACGGGGUGCUGCAGUGAGGAAUAUUGGUCAAUGGGCGCGAGCCUGAACCAGCCAAGUAGCGUGAAGGAUGACUGCCCUACGGGUUGUAAACUUCUUUUAUAAAGGAAUAAAGUGAGGCACGUGUGCCUUUUUGUAUGUACUUUAUGAAUAAGGAUCGGCUAACUCCGUGCCAGCAGCCGAGGUAAUACGGGGGAUCCGAGCGUUAUCCGGAUUUAUUGGGUUUAAAGGGAGCGUAGAUGGGUUGUAAAGUCAGUUGUGACAGUUUGCGGCUCAACCGUAAAAUUGCACUUGAUACUGGCAGUCUUGAGUACAGUUGAGGUAGGCGGAAUUCGUGGUGUAGCGGUGAAAUGCUUAGAUAUCACGAAGAACUCCGAUUGCGAAGGCAGCUUACUAAACUGCCACUGACAUUGAUGCUCGAAAGUGUGGGUAUCAAACAGGAUUAGAUACCCCAGUAGUC